AAAUUGAAGAGUUUGAUCAUGGCUCAGAUUGAACGCUGGCGGCAGGCCUAACACAUGCAAGUCGAACGGUAACAGGAAGCAGCUUGCUGCUUUGCUGACGAGUGGCGGACGGGUGAGUAAUGUCUGGGAAACUGCCCGAUGGAGGGGGAUAACUACUGGAAACGGUAGCUAAUACCGCAUAACGUCGCAAGACCAAAGAGGGGGACCUUAGGGCCUCUUGCCAUCGGAUGUGCCCAGAUGGGAUUAGCUAGUAGGUGGGGUAAUGGCUCACCUAGGCGACGAUCCCUAGCUGGUCUGAGAGGAUGACCAGCCACACUGGAACUGAGACACGGUCCAGACUCCUACGGGAGGCAGCAGUGGGGAAUAUUGCACAAUGGGCGCAAGCCUGAUGCAGCCAUGCCGCGUGUAUGAAGAAGGCCUUCGGGUUGUAAAGUACUUUCAGCGGGGAGGAAGGGAGU
rnacentral:rRNA from 1 species